GACGAACGCUGGCGGCGUGCCUAAUACAUGCAAGUAGAACGCUGAAGGAGGAGCUUGCUUCUCUGGAUGAGUUGCGAACGGGUGAGUAACGCGUAGGUAACCUGCCUGGUAGCGGGGGAUAACUAUUGGAAACGAUAGCUAAUACCGCAUAAGAGUAGAUGUUGCAUGACAUUUGCUUAAAAGGUGCAAUUGCAUCACUACCAGAUGGACCUGCGUUGUAUUAGCUAGUUGGUGGGGUAACGGCUCACCAAGGCGACGAUACAUAGCCGACCGGAGAGGGGGAUCGGCCACACUGGGACGGAGACACGGCCCAGAGUCCUACGGGAGGCAGCAGUAGGGAAUCUUCGGCAAUGGACGGAAGUCUGACCGAGCAACGCCGCGUGAGUGAAGAAGGUUUUCGGAUCGUAAAGCUCUGUUGUAAGAGAAGAACGAGUGUGAGAGUGGAAAGUUCACACUGUGACGGUAUCUGACCAGAAAGGGACGGCUAACUACGUG
rnacentral:rRNA from 1 species